UACGUAGGGUGCAAGCGUUGUCCGGAAUUAUUGGGCGUAAAGAGCUCGUAGGCGGUCUGUCGCGUCUGCUGUGAAAACUCAGGGCUUAACCCUGAGCUUGCAGUGGGUACGGGCAGACUAGAGUGCGGUAGGGGAGACUGGAAUUCCUGGUGUAGCGGUGAAAUGCGCAGAUAUCAGGAAGAACACCCGUGGCGAAGGCAGCUCGCUGGGACGUAACUGACGCUGGAGAACGCGAAAGCGUGGGGAGCAAACAGG
rnacentral:rRNA from 1 species